rnacentral:rRNA from 1 species
GACGAACGCUGGCGGCGUGCUUAACACAUGCAAGUCGAACGAGGCCCCUCCUUCGGGAGGGUGUCCUAGUGGCGAACGGGUGAGUAACACGUGGGCAACCUGCCCCCGGCUCUGGGAUAACCCCAAGAAAUUGGGGCUAAUACCGGAUAUGACCGCUGACCGCAUGGUCGGUGGUGGAAAGGUUUUUCGGCUGGGGAUGGGCCCGCGGCCUAUCAGCUUGUUGGUGGGGUAGUGGCCUACCAAGGCGACGACGGGUAGCCGGCCUGAGAGGGAGACCGGCCACAAUGGGACUGAGACACGGCCCAGACUCCUACGGGAGGCAGCAGUGGGGAAUAUUGCGCAAUGGGCGGAAGCCUGACGCAGCGACGCCGCGUGGGGGAGGACGGCCUUCGGGUUGUAAACCUCUUUCAGCAGGGACGAAGCGAAAGUGACGGUACCUGCAGAAGAAGCACCGGCCAACUACGUGCCAGCAGCCGCCGCAG